GCCUGGAUAGCUCAGUUGGUUAGAGCAGGGUGCUGAUAACUCCCAGGGUUGCAGGUUCGAUCCCUGAAUGGGACA